GUUGGUGGUGAUACCAAGUUUGGACUCACAUGAUUCUAAAAUUACCUAUUCACUCGGUAUGAAAUGACUGGUUCACUAAAUACAAUCCUUUCCAUAUGAUAUUAUUAAAUCACCAUGUCUGGGCCCUAGGUCCUUGUGGGUAAGCCCAAGAGCCUGGAGAUUGAGUUCAUUUUUCUCCUAAUUGGUUCAGAUUGGCAUCAUACAGCUGGAGGACUUGGAGAACAGAAGGUGAAGGAGGAGGCUGGAUCCUGUUCCUCCUCUUUACUUUUUCAAUUCAACCAGUGUAUGGACCUUAAGCAUUCCUGA
rnacentral:lncRNA from 1 species